rnacentral:rRNA from 1 species
GACGAACGCUGGCGGCGUGCUUAACACAUGCAAGUCGAACGGUAAGGCCCUUCGGGGUACACGAGUGGCGAACGGGUGAGUAACACGUGGGUGAUCUGCCCUGCACUUCGGGAUAAGCCUGGGAAACUGGGUCUAAUACCGGAGAGGACCACUGCCUGCAUGGGUGGUGGUGGAAAGCUUUUGGGGUGGGGGAGGGGCCCGCGGCCUAUCAGCUUGUUGGUGGGGUGAUGGCCUACCAAGGCGACGACGGGUAGCCGGCCUGAGAGGGUGACCGGCCACACUGGGACUGAGAUACGGCCCAGACUCCUACGGGAGGCAGCAGUGGGGAAUAUUGCGCAAUGGGCGCAAGCCUGAUGCAGCGACGCCGCGUGAGGGAUGACGGCCUUCGGGUUGUAAACCUCUUUCAGCACCGACGAAGCGCAAGUGACGGUAGGUGCAGAAGAAGGACCGGCCAACUACGUGCCAGCAGCAGCCGCCG